UACGGGGGGGGCAAGCGUUGUUCGGAAUUACUGGGCGUAAAGGGCUCGUAGGCGGCCAACUAAGUCAGACGUGAAAUCCCUCGGCUAAACCGGGGAACUGCAUCUGAUACUGGAUGGCUUGAGUUUGGGAGAGGGAUGCGGAAUUCCAGGUGUAGCGGUAAAAUGCGUAGAUAUCUGGAGGAACACCGGUGGCGAAGGCGGCAUCCUGGACUGGUACUGACGCUCAUGAGCGAAAGCGUGGGGAGCGAUCCGG
rnacentral:rRNA from 1 species